UUGAACGCUGGCGGCAUGCUUUACACAUGCAAGUCGAACGGCAGCGCGGGCUUCGGCCUGGCGGCGAGUGGCGAACGGGUGAGUAAUACAUCGGAACGUGCCCAGUAGUGGGGGAUAGCUCGGCGAAAGCCGGAUUAAUACCGCAUACGACCUGAGGGUGAAAGCGGGGGAUCUUCGGACCUCGCGCUAUUGGAGCGGCCGAUGGCAGAUUAGCUAGUUGGUGGGGUAAAGGCCUACCAAGGCGACGAUCUGUAGCUGGUCUGAGAGGACGACCAGCCACCCUGGGACUGAGACACGGCCCAGACUCCUACGGGAGGCAGCAGUGGGGAAUUUUGGACAAUGGGCGAAAGCCUGAUCCAGCAAUGCCGCGUGUGUGAUGAAGGCCUUCGGGUUGUAAAGCACUUUUGGCGGGAACGAAAAGGACUGUGCCAAUACCACGGUUCGAUGACGGUACCCGCAGAAUAAGCACCGGCUAACUACGUG
rnacentral:rRNA from 1 species